ensembl:lncRNA
CAGAAUCAACAUGACAGGGUAUGAGGGUUGAAAAUAAGAAGAAAGCAACACAUGAUUUAAUGUGAAGUAACAAGUCAAGCUGGUCUUGAUUUUAAAAGGGGAUACCUGAGGGGGAUUUCCUCCCCCAGUCCAAAGACAUGCGUUGUAGGCAGAUAGAUUGGCAUUUCCAAAUUGUCCAUAGUGUGUGAAUGUGGAUUGGCACCCCGUCCAGAGUGUUCCCUGCCUUGUGCCUGAGUGCCCUGGGAUAAGCUCCAGGCUCCCCACGACGCUGUGUAGAAAAAGCGGUACAGAAAAUCCGCUUCGCCACGCGUCGACCCUGACUUUGCCACCCUCAGGCUCGACUUGCUGGCUUCACCAAGGAAGGGCAUUGCUGAUAUCUAUCAGACCUGCAAGCCGUGAAAAUACAGCUGGUUAGAGAUAAAGUUGCUACCGAUGCUACCAUAUCAACACUGAAAGGUACUGUUGGAGAAAUGGAGCAUGCGCUCUCCAGUUGCACUGAUGACAUAGCUCAGAUGAAGACUACUAUUGAGUCUCUCACUGCGACCGUAACCAAGUUAGAGAAUAAAUUUGAGGACUUGGAGUCUAGGUCACGGCGCAAUAACAUUAGGAUAGUCGGAGUUCCAGAGGGCGCUGACACCUGUACAACUGCUGCCGUAGCGGCCUUGCUGAAGGAGGCGUUUGGUCUGGGGAAGGAGCCGGUUUUGGACCGGUCCCACCAGACCCUUCAGCCGAAGCCCAGGCCUGGUGAACGACCACAAGCUAUUGUGUGCACAUUCCGCUAUAACAGUGACUGUGUUGACAUUUUACACCGUGUGAAAGAGCUCCAACAGAUUAAAGUGAGGGAUUUGACCAUUUCAGUCUUCCAGCCAAGAUAGCCCGGGCUCGGGCCGCGUUUAACGAGGUUAGGCGUCAACUUCGUGGCAUUGAGGGUGCUCGCUAUGGAAUACUUCACCUGGCUUGGCUUCGCAUUACUUAUAACGGUGUUCAGAAAGACUUCGUUUCAGCGGAGGAAGCAGGGUCUAUGUAAAAUUCUUGACGUCUGGGUGAGCUGCACCACCUACAACAGCCGCAUCUUUUUUGCACUCCUUAAAUCUACCUCUGUAAUAAUGUGGUUCUCUGUUUUGGUGCUCUGACUAGGUUAGAGUUUCGGUUUAAAUUAUGCUAGUAUUUUUUCCUCAGCCUUUUGUGCUACACUGUUACAUUAUCAGUAUUUCAUCUAAUUUGUAACAAGUCUUUGAAAGAUUAUAUUUGUUAUUGUGCGCAGUCUGUUUUUCAGUCUUGAAGUCAGUAGGGGCCUUUUCUCUUACUGAGACUUUUUUUUUGGUAAUAUUUUUGGUUAGUUGUUUUCACAUUGUGGACAACUUUUGGUUACUGUGGGAAAGACUGCUGUCUCCUUUGUUCUUUUGUUAUAUGGAGACUUUGGGUGUGUGUGUUUAGGGGUUUGUUGGGGGGAGGGGGUCCCACUUCGGCUCUAAUUGGCUAUUUGUAUCCCUGUGGUUUACUUUAUUUAAAUGGUUAAUAGUAAUAUUGAUCCCAGCACAGCUGGGACAGGCGCUAAGAUUUAUUAGGUGGAACGUCAGCGAUAUGGGUAAUCCUGUCAAGAGAUCUAAGGUUUUUACACAUUUGAAACGUUUAAACUCUGAUAUAGUAUUUUUACAGGAGACUCACCUACGUAUUAAAGAUCAUCAUAGGUUACACUCCCCUUGGGUGAACCAAGUCUUCCACUCGAACUUUAAUUCGAAGGCAAGAGGGGUCGCUAUUUUAAUAGGCAAAAGGUCACAGUUUUCAUCCACUAACAUUAUUGCUGAUGUGAAUGGGAGAUAUAUUAUAGUUGCUGGUACCCUAAUGCACAGACAGGUUUUGUUGGUAAAUGUAUAUGCUCCAAAAUUUGAUGUGGAAUUUGCUAAUAGAUUGUUGAUCAACCUCCCCUUUUUAAAUACUCACCUAAUGAUUUUUGGGGGGGAUUUAAACUGUGUUUUUGACCCAAACUUGUAUCAGUCUAAUCCCCGUACUCUGAUUCAAUCUGCUAUGUCUAAAACAUUUUCCGAAUUUUAUGUGUCAGAACGGUCUCGUUGAUCCACGGUGAUCCCAUAACCCCUCUCUUAAAAAGUGUUCCUUCUUCUCCCAGGUGCAUCAUUCCUCUUCGAAGAUUGAUUAUUUUUUAUAGACAGUACUCUUAAUUCUUGUGUAGUUUCUCCUGACUAUCUGGGUAUUGUAAUUUCUGACCAUGCGCCUGUACAAUUAGAUAUUCAACUUUCUAUUUAUAACUGUAGUCCACCACCUUGGAGAUUUAACUCUCUUCUUUUAGCAGACAGUGAAUUCUGUGAGUUCAUUUCAACUUCCAUUGAUGACUUUCUUUUCUUCAAUCAGAAUGACUCCACCUCUUAUUCAUUGUUAUGGGAGACACUUAAAUCCUAUAUCAGAGGGCAGAUUAUUUCUUACUCCACUCUCUCUAAUAAAAGGCUCACUGCUAGGCUUAAUGAACUCACAUCUGUGAUCAGUAACCUUGAUCAAAGAUAUGCAUUGAACCCUUCUCCAGAACUUCUUAAACAGCGUCUCGACUUACAAGCAGAAUUUAAUCUUAUUUCGACUAAAGAGGCAGAACGCUUGUUACGUACUCGUGGUUCAUACUAUGAACAUGGCGACAAGCCAAGCCAUUUCCCAUCUCAUACCUAGUAUUAAAAACACUUAUAAUAUUGUCACUACAGAGCCCAUGGAAAUUAAUGCAACUUUUAAAUCAUUUUACUCUUCACUUUAUAAAUCUGAAUUUACUGCAGACAAUACUAAAGUGAAUGCAUUUCUUCAAAAUCUUUGUAACCUUGUUAUUGAUCUAAUACUGCCAAGCAACUGGACUCCCCACUCUCUCUUGAGGAAAUUUUAAAUUCAGUUAAAACUAUGCAGUCUAACAAAGCCCCUGGCCUGGACGGGUUUCCAUUUGAAUUUUUUAAAAACGUUUAUUGGAAAAUGAACACCACUGCUUUUGUGUGUGUUCAAUGAAUCCUUGGAAUGUGGGUCUUUGGCUCCACCUCUGACACAAGCCACUAAAGCUCUCCUUCUUAAGUAGGGUAAGGAUCCAACCUCCUGUGGUUCUUAUAGACUGCUGUCUCUGCUUAAUGCAGAUGUAAAGGUGUUGGCAAAAGUAAUUGCAUCUCGUUUAGAGAACGUGCUCCCUUAUAUUAUAUCUGAAAAGCAAAACAGUUAUAAAAGGAUGUCAGCUGUUUUUCAAUACCCGUACACUCUUUAAUAUCAUUUAUUCAAAGCAUUCGGCUGAGCUUCCCGAGAUUGUAAUUUCUUUAGAUGCUGAAAAAGCAUUUGACAGGGUUGAGUGGGAGUAUUUGUUUGCAGUUUUGAGGAAAUUCGGAUUCGGGGAUAAAUUUAUUUCUUGGAUUCGCCUCCUUUACUCAUCGCCUAAAGCUCGGAUUCAUGCGGAUGAUAUUUAUUCUGAUUAUUCUGCUAUCGGACGAGGGUGUCAGCAAGGCUGUCCUUUAUCCCCUCUGCUUUUUGCGGUUGCUAUCGAGCCUCUGUCUAUCGUAUUAAGAUCUUCCCACCUGUUUAAAGGAAUAGUCCGAUACGGUGUAGGAUACAAAUUGUCGCUAUAUGCUGAUGAUUUGUUAUUGUAUGUAACCGAUCCUAUUGCCUCUAUGCCUGCUGUCUUAGGUGUUCCGGAAACCUUCAGUUUUGUCUCGGUUUAUAAGUUAAAUUUGGAGAAAAGCGACUGUUUCCUGUCAAUACUGCAGCAUUUUCUUUCCAACAGUCAGAUCUACCUUUUCGAUUUAGUCAGUCAGGGUUUAAAUACUUAGGUAUCAACGUGACAUGUUCUUUAUCUAAUCUUGUAUCAGCUAAUUUCACUCCUCUUAUUUCAAAGGUUAAAUCCAAUGUUCAAAUAUGGGGUAACCUCCCCCUUUCUCUAAUUGGCAGGAUCAGUGUUGUCAAAAUGAAUAUAUUACCGAAGUUUCUUUUAUUUAUUUCAGCAAGUUAUUUCACCUCUUUUUCUGCCAAAACAGUUUUUCGAUUCAUUGGAUAAAAUAAUUUGUUCUUUUAUUUGGGGUGGGAAGCCACCAAGGGUCCGUAAAUCUUUAUUACAGAGAUGUAGAUUUAGUGGAGGACUUGCAUUACCCAAUUUUCAAUUCUGUUACUGGGCCGCGUACAUCCAUAAACUUUGCUACUGGGUUAAAUCUCCUGGAUCUUCUUGGUGUAAAUUGGAACGAUCAUCUUGCAGGGAAUCCUCUAUACCUGCUUUACUUUAUUCCUCUCUACCUACAAAACUCUCUCUAUAUAUUCUAUAUAUUGAUAAUCAAGUUGUCCUUAACACACUUAAGAUUUGGUAUCAAUUUAGAUGGCGCUUUAAAUUUGUAGGUGCAUCCUCCUUGGGUUCUUUAAGCAACAACCACUUAUUUCCUCCAUCGCGUUUGGACUCCACAUUUUCAGUGUGGUAUGAAAAGGGCAUUAAACAAUUCAAAAAUCUGUAUGCUGAUGGUGUCUUUGAUAGCUUUGCCAAUCUGUCAUCUACUUAUGACCUCCCCGUGACGCAUCUGUUUCGUUAUUUUCAAAUUCGAAAUUUUGUUUCUAGAUUUUUCCUAAUUUCCCCUCUGAACCUCCUGAACAGGCUUGGGAAAGCUUGUUUUCAAACAAUCCACAUCAGAGAGGAAUGAUUUCUAAGAUUUAUGAUUUUAUUCUGGUGUUAAAUUGUCAGCCUAGAACCAAAAUGAAGAAUGCAUGGGAAAUGGAGUUAGGAGUACAAAUAAGUGAAGAGUGUUAUGAAGAGUGUUCAAAUAAGUGAACGUGCUAUAGGUAGGAUUCAGUCUACCAAUUCUUGUGCUCGUAUUGGACUUAUCCAGUUCAAAGUUUUACACAGAGUCCAUUUGUCUAAGUUGAGACUUUCUGUAAUCUAUCCAGAAGUAGAGGACAAGUGUGAUAAAUGCCAUGACUCUCCCUGUCAUCUCGGCCAUAUGUUUUUCUUUUGCCCUGAUCUCGAUGGUUUUUGGACUGGUUUCUUUACUACCAUGUCCACUAUUUUCAGAGUAGAUUUCAAACCUUGCCCAUUGAUUGCUAUAUUUGGGAUUCCUGAUGCCUCAGUUCCAUUAAGCUCUGUACAAAAAGAUACGAUCGCUUUCACAUCCUUAAUAGCAAGAUGUUCCCUAUUGUUGCAUUGGAAGUCUGCUCAAUUUCCAUCCAUCUCCCAGUGGCUAAAAGAAGUGAUGUUUUUUUUAAAACUCGAGAAAAUAAAGUAUACGAUGAGGGGUUUAAGUUUUUUAAAAAUAAAUGGCAACCCUUUAUUUAAUAUUUUAUGGAGUUACAGAUGCCGCACUCUUGAAUUUUUGUGCCUGUUAUUGGAUUUUACAAUUUAUACAUAACCAGAUAUUGAUAUUGUUUAGCCAUAAUGAGCCGGGGGGGGGGGGG